rnacentral:lncRNA from 1 species
CUAGUGUUGACAGUUGGUUACUUGCCAAUAUUUUUUAUACACCUUCCAAAUUCAUUUCUCCAUGUUUUAUGCCUCAAAUUGCAAGAAGGGGGUUAAUAUUACACUGUUAAAAAAUUUGGGUUCAGAAUUUUAAAGGAAAGUAGUGAUUUGGUCCAGCUGAAAAAGGUUAAAAAUUAGCACUUCGGAAGCUGUCAAAAGAUUUCAAGACGCCCUAAACAUAAAAUUGUCCAUAUUUUGAGUUAGAGCAGAUGAAGUUUUCUAUAAUUUUGAUAUAAUUUGUCCCAAAAGUAGUACAACACACUGUAAAAAUUUCAUUGAGAAAGCCCAGGUGGGAUUUUUAAAAUUUUC